rnacentral:lncRNA from 1 species
UGAAACGUGGCGUCAACUUACGCGACUUCAAAGCUCUACCAACACCCGUUAUUGGCGUAACUCGAAGAAACACAUGCUUGUCUUUCUCAAACUCAAGAGCUUUCCUCCUCUUAUCAUGAUAACUCUUUUGGCGACUCUGAGAAGCCUUCAUCUUCCCUUGAAUCAUCUUAAUCUUAUCUGUAGUCUCUUGAAUCAACUCGGGUCCAAC